AUCUUUCUUCCCUUUCUAUAGUCUCCAACGGAAGGAAAAGCCAAGAAAAAAGAAAAAGAUUUUCCCUUUUACCAAACAAAAGAAACUUCACAAAAGUUGGAAUUCAGAAAUUUUCCCUUUGGAUUCCUUCACUUUGAUUUCUCCUGCAUCUGCAAGCUCCAGCUCUUGUAAUAUGUGAUUUCCGUAUUCAAUUUCGACGUCAUAACUCAACUCUAUCUAUUUCUAUUCGUUGUGUUGCUUUUGGCCUUGUUAUGAGAGGAUUGGGUGGGGUAUAGUGUGGGUUUGGUUGCCUUUUUGGUAGAGAUAUUGCGUAGCUAUUGGUUGAGUUUGGUCUUUUCUUGUUUCAUCUUGCUUUAUCUGUUGUUGAAGGAGAAUGCUAAAUGCUAAUGUUUGUUGCAUGUUAGAUAAUUGCAGCUACUAGACUGCAUUUCUGGUUAGUCAUUAUUGUCAAUUAGAACUAACUCAUUACAUCUGUAAUGCUGCUGCUCUGAGUGAGUACCCUUCUAUUUGAACUGUGUCAAACUAACGGAGUGAUAUUGUUGCUGGUGUCUGUAUGUUUGUUUAUGUGUUUGCAUUUUCUGAUUUUUUUUAUUGUGUUUUCGUUGCUUUGUGGGCUGAUGGAGUGAUUUGUGAACACAAGAAAAUAUUAACUUUUUUCUUUUCACCUUUUGACUUUUUUUGUUUUGGGAGUUCUGGGGAGGGUGGGGGACGGGGAGAGAGUGGAAGAAAGUGAAGAAAAAAUCCAUCUGGUUACUGUGGAGAUCUGGGACUUCUUUCAUCUCUUAUGCCCAAUGAGGACUUUCUUCCCCUCUGAGUCAUGUAAAGAGUCACAA
rnacentral:misc_RNA from 1 species